rnacentral:rRNA from 1 species
CUGCUUUACCAUGCAAGUCGAACGAUGAACCACCUUCGGGUGGGGAUUAGUGGCGAACGGGUGAGUAACACGUGGGCAAUCUGCCCUGCACUCUGGGACAAGCCCUGGAAACGGGGUCUAAUACCGGAUACUGACCUGCCAAGGCAUCUUGGCGGGUCGAAAGCUCCGGCGGUGCAGGAUGAGCCCGCGGCCUAUCAGCUUGUUGGUGAGGUAAUGGCUCACCAAGGCGACGACGGGUAGCCGGCCUGAGAGGGCGACCGGCCACACUGGGACUGAGACACGGCCCAGACUCCUACGGGAGGCAGCAGUGGGGAAUAUUGCACAAUGGGCCAAAGCCUGAUGCAGCGACGCCGCGUGAGGGAUGACGGCCUUCGGGUUGUAAACCUCUUUCAGCAGGGAAGAAGCGAAAGUGACGGUACCUGCAGAAGAAGCGCCGGCUAACUACGUGCCAGCAGCCGCGGUAAUACGUAGGGCGCAAGCGUUGUCCGGAAUUAUUGGGCGUAAAGAGCUCGUAGGCGGCUUGUCGCGUCGGUUGUGAAAGCCCGGGGCUUAACCCCGGGUCUGCAGUCGAUACGGGCAGGCUAGAGUUCGGUAGGGGAGAUCGGAAUUCCUGGUGUAGCGGUGAAAUGCGCAGAUAUCAGGAGGAACACCGGUGGCGAAGGCGGAUCUCUGGGCCGAUACUGACGCUGAGGAGCGAAAGCGUGGGGAGCGAACAGGAUUAGAUACCCUGGUAGUCCACGCCGU